UUUCUUUCUUAUUCUCAUUUUUUCUUUUUCCCCCCUCCCUUAUGAAAGUCAAUCUUGGUCCCUUUCAACUUUUUCCCCCUUAAUCUGCUGACAGAAUCCUUUAUUUGUUGCAGUGAUGAUAAUCUGGUGAAAGAUGACUUUUUGAGGUCCAAAAUGGAUGAAGAGGGAUGGGUUCCUAUUGAAUUGAUUGCUAACUUUCCUCGUGUAAGUGAUAUAACCUGGUUCUCGAUUUUAAUGGGAAGGUGUUUGAUCACUGCUUCAGAAGUCCUAAGAUUUAUACCUCCUAUAGCCUUCUAUUAGAUGUAAAUGGUUUUGAGAACUCAGAUACCUCCACGAAAAGUAGCUUCAUGUCCCCUCUUCUUUCGUCUUACGACUCUUGUCUUCCUGUUAUUAGUACGUAAAUUGUUUAGCAGUGAAUUCUGAUACUUAUUAGAUACAUAAAAUUAUCUUGAUUAACUUGGUUCUCGAUUUUAAUGGGAAGGUGUUUGAUCACUGCUUGAGAAGUCCCAAGAUUUUUACCUCCUAUGGCCUUCUAUUAGAUAUAUAAAUGGUUUUGAGACCUCAGAUACCUCCACGAAAAGUAGCUUUAUGUCCCCUCUUCCUUCGUCUUGUCUUCCUGUUAUUAGUACGUAAAUUGUUUAGCAGUGAAUACUGAUACCUUUUAGAUUCGUAAAAUUAUCUUGAACCUUGUUUGCUGAAGAUUCCAUUGGUUGAUUAAACAUCUUUCUUUUCCACUUAUGGAAUGAUAUCUCUGGUAAGUGUUUUACUAAGUCUACGUUAAAAGGAUUGUUGCUGGGUUGUAAUAUCUUCUAAUGUUUCCUGUUGAUUUUAGCAUUAUAUUUACCAGUUUUGAUACUGUCUGUGUGUCUAAUGGAGGAUAUUAUUAUUGCAGAAGUAGGUUUCAUUUAAGCUAAACUAAUUAUCUUGCAGCUUCAUUCAUAACUUUCUCUUUUUGUCACAUUUCUUACUCUUUCUGAACUCUUAAGGUCAAAAUGGAAGUUCAUUCUCAUUCUUAUAUUCAGUUCAAACUCGACAUCCAAAUUUUAUGUUUUGCCAACUUUUUCUGAGUUCUAAAAUUUACCAAAGAUCUAAAUCUUUCCUUUUCUUUCACCCAACUGUUUUCAGGAGCAUUGUGUCUAUAUCCAAUUUCAAUUUGUACCAGUGGCUUGUAUGAUUCUCCGUAAUGGAUGUUUGGCUUCUUGCUACUUUUAGUUGAUCUAAAAUCGAUGCAAUUAUACAUCUAAGUCACAGGAUUUUUUGCUAUUAUCAAGUGGAUAAGUCGGACUUUCCAUAUAAUAUCGAUCAAAUGAUUGAAAUCCAUCUUAUUUAUUUCUAUUUUCUUUGUUGUUUGAUCUUUUGGUUAAGCUACUGCUACAUCAUUGAAAGUUCCUAAAUUAUUUUAGUAUUCAUUAUGUCAACUAGAUAUUUAAUGACUUCUAGUGAGUUCUGUCUUGAGGUAUUGAAUUCUUUUUUUUUCUGAAAUGUAGGAAUUUUGACUUGAAAUUGUAAUUAUAUUUUUGAACAUUAUUCUUCUGAAGUAUACUCGAAAAAGACAAAAGGGCGACAGUUUCUUGCCUUCUAGGUGUUUUUUAUUUCUGUGUCAGUAUUGCCCAUGCACAGAUCAAGGUUUUGCUCUAUGGU
rnacentral:lncRNA from 1 species